UACGGCUACUCAUUUCGGUUU
rnacentral:piRNA from 1 species